GCAACCCGACUCCAUGAAGCUGGAUUCGCUAGUAAUCGCGCAUCAGCCACGGCGCGGUGAAUACGUUCCCGGGCCUUGUACACACCGCCCGUCAAGCCAUGGAAGCCGGGAGUGCCUGAAGUGCGUGAGCGCAAGCAGCGCCCUAAGGUAAAACCGGUGACUGGGGCUAAGUCGUAACAAGGUACC
rnacentral:rRNA from 1 species